rnacentral:rRNA from 1 species
GACGUAGGGCGCGAGCGUUGUCCGGAUUUAUUGGGCGUAAAGAGCUCGUAGGCGGUUUGUCGCGUCUGCCGUGAAAGUCCGGGGCUCAACUCCGGAUCUGCGGUGGGUACGGGCAGACUAGAGUGAUGUAGGGGAGACUGGAAUUCCUGGUGUAGCGGUGAAAUGCGCAGAUAUCAGGAGGAACACCGAUGGCGAAGGCAGGUCUCUGGGCAUUAACUGACGCUGAGGAGCGAAAGCAUGGGGAGCGAACAGG